CAGAAUUCCUGGGUCUCUGACCCAGGGGCCUGGGUGGCCUCUGAAGAACCUUCUGGAAGGCUCAGAGCAUUGCCGUCUGCUGGACCUCAGAGGGGACCACAAAGUGGGCUGGCGGCCCCCGCGGACACAGAUCCAGCCCCCAAAUUCAUCCUCCGGGAGCGUCCCGUCCCUGUGCCUCCCAGAGGCCCACCGAGGACGGUGCCAAGGUCACGCCUAGAGAUUCCCAAAAGGACCUGGGCUUGUUUGGGGCACCCACGCCCCAUGAGAGCUUCCUCACCACCCAGCUCUCGCACUGUUCCCUGUGCCCCAGCCAGAGCCCCGGAUGACAGCCUCAAGUCCUAUCCACCUCCUCACCUCCCAAAACCUCCCACCCUGAGUCCGUCUCCUGCCCGGCUAAGCGGCCUGCUCAAGUCUCAAUUCCUGGCUCUCCCAUUGACAUGCUGUGUGACAUCAGUGCUCCGGAGGCACCAUGACUUCUUGACAUCUCGACCUUUGCACAUGCUGUUCCCUCUGCCGGGAACAGAAUUCUGUCUCCUCAGCUGCACCUUCCCAGGCUGGCUUAUUCUUCAGGAUUUCUCAGUUGGUCUAAUACCGCCAAUGGCAGAGAAGAGACACAGGGACAUGUGUGACAACAGGGGCAGAGAUAGGGUGACAUGUCUACGAGUUGCCAGCAGCCCCCCGGAGCCGGGAAAGGGGCACGGAACAGAUUCUCCCUCUGAUUCCCCAAGAAGGAACCAGCCCUGCCGCCACCUUGAAUCAGGAGAGAAUAAAUCUGUCGUGUUAA